ACUAAGCGUACACGGUGGAUGCCCUGGCAGUCAGAGGCGAUGAAGGACGUGCUAAUCUGCGAUAAGCGUCGGUAAGGUGAUAUGAACCGUUAUAACCGACGAUUUCCGAAUGGGGAAACCCAGUGUGAUUCGUCACACUAUCAUUACGUGAAUACAUAGCGUAAUGAAGCGAACCGGGGGAACUGAAACAUCUAAGUACCCCGAGGAAAAGAAAUCAACCGAGAUUCCCCCAGUAGCGGCGAGCGAACGGGGAGCAGCCCAGAGCCUGAAUCAG
rnacentral:rRNA from 1 species